AGUGAACGCUGGCGGUAGGCCUAACACAUGCAAGUCGAACGGCAGCACAGUAAGAGCUUGCUCUUACGGGUGGCGAGUGGCGGACGGGUGAGGAAUACAUCGGAAUCUACUUUUUCGUGGGGGAUAACGUAGGGAAACUUACGCUAAUACCGCAUACGACCUACGGGUGAAAGCAGGGGAUCUUCGGACCUUGCGCGAUUGAAUGAGCCGAUGUCGGAUUAGCUAGUUGGCGGGGUAAAGGCCCACCAAGGCGACGAUCCGUAGCUGGUCUGAGAGGAUGGUCAGCCACACUGGAACUGAGACACGGUCCAGACUCCGACGGGAGGCAGCAGUGGGGAAUAUUGGACGAUGGGGGGAAGACUGCUCCAGCCAUGCCGCGUGGGUGAAGAAGGCCUUCGGGUUGUAAAGCGCUUUUGUUGGGAAAGAAAAGCAGCAGGUUAAUACCCCGCUGUGCUGACGGUACCCAAAGAAUAAGCACCGGCUAACUUCGU
rnacentral:rRNA from 1 species